GACGAACGCUGGCGGCGUGCUUAACACAUGCAAGUCGAACGGAAAGGCCCCCUUGUGGGGUACUCGAGUGGCGAACGGGUGAGUAACACGUGAGUAACCUACCCUUGACUUUGGGAUAACUUCAGGAAACUGGGGCUAAUACCGGAUAGGAGCUCCUGCUGCAUGGUGGGGGUUGGAAAGUUUCGGCGGUUGGGGUUGGACUCGCGGCUUAUCAGCUUGUUGGUGGGGUAGUGGCUCACCAAGGCUUUGACGGGUAGCCGGCCUGAGAGGGUGACCGGCCACAUUGGGACUGAGAUACGGCCCAGACUCCUACGGGAGGCAGCAGUGGGGAAUAUUGCGCAAUGGGCGGAAGCCUGAUGCAGCAACGCCGCGUGCGGGAUGACGGCCUUCGGGUUGUAAACCGCUUUCGCCUGUGACGAAGCGUGAGUGACGGUAAUGGGUAAAGAAGCACCGGCUAACUACGUG
rnacentral:rRNA from 1 species